rnacentral:rRNA from 1 species
GACGAACGCUGGCGGCGUGCUUAACACAUGCAAGUCGAACGCUGAAGCUCAGCUUUUGUUGGGUGGAUGAGUGGCGAACGGGUGAGUAACACGUGAGUAACCUGCCUCCUUCUUUGGGAUAACGCCCGGAAACGGGUGCUAAUACUGGGUAUUCACUGGUCUUCGCAUGGGGGUUGGUGGAAAGGGUUUUUCUGGUGGGGGAUGGGCUCGCGGCCUAUCAGCUUGUUGGUGGGGUGAUGGCCUACCAAGGCUUUGACGGGUAGCCGGCCUGAGAGGGUGACCGGUCACAUUGGGACUGAGAUACGGCCCAGACUCCUACGGGAGGCAGCAGUGGGGAAUAUUGCACAAUGGGCGCAAGCCUGAUGCAGCGACGCCGCGUGAGGGAUGGAGGCCUUCGGGUUGUGAACCUCUUUCGCUCAUGGACAAGCCGCAACAAUGGUUGUGGUGAGGGUAGUGGGUAAAGAAGCGCCGGCUAACUACGUG